AAAAAGGCAAACCCUGGGUUUGCGUGUCCAACUUUGACUAUCCGUCUUAUAUGAAAUUUUUUUUAUAAUUCGUAUUUUCAUUGUUGUUAGAUGAUAAAACAUAAUUAAUAUUUUAUACGUGACUUGUCUUUUUAAUUUUUUUAAAAAUUUUUUCAAAUAAGACGGACGGUCAAAUGUUGGGCACGGAAACCAGGGUUUGUCUUUUU
rnacentral:pre_miRNA from 1 species